UACGGGGGGAGCAAGCGUUGUUCGGAUUUACUGGGCGUAAAAGGCGCGUAGGCGGCCACCGCAAGUCAAUUGUGAAAUCUCCGGGCUUAACUCGGAAAGGUCAACUGAUACUGCGGGGCUAGAGUGCGGAAGGGGCAACUGGAAUUCUCGGUGUAGCGGUGAAAUGCGUAGAUAUCGAGAGGAACACCUGCGGCGCAGGCGGGUUGCUGGGCCGACACUGACGCUGAUGCGCGAAAGCCAGGGGAGCG
rnacentral:rRNA from 1 species